GGGGAUGUAGCUCAGUGGUACAGCUCUUGCCUUCCAUAUACAAGGUCCUGGGUUCAAUCCCCAGUACCACCA
rnacentral:tRNA from 1 species